rnacentral:rRNA from 1 species
GACGUAGGAGGCGAGCGUUAUCCGGAUUCACUGGGCGUAAAGCGCAAGUAGGCGGUUGUGAAGGUCCGUUGUUAAAGCCCCUGGCUCAACUGGGGGAGGUCAAUGGAGACUUUAUGACUUGAGGGCAACAGAGGCAUGUGGAACUCCCGGUGUAGCGGUGGAAUGCGUAGAUAUUCGCAAGAACACCAGUGGCGAAGGCGGCUCACUGGCCCGAUACUGACGCUGAGGCACGAAAGCGUGGGGAGCAAACAGG